UACGGAGGGUGCAAGCGUUGCUCGGAAUUAUUGGGCGUAAAGGGUAGGUAGGUGGUCUCGUUUGUCUGAGGUGAAAGCCUUGAGCUUAACUCAAGAAGUGCCUUAGAAACGGCGAGACUAGAGUCCUGGAGAGGGUCGUGGAAGUUCCCGGUGUAGCGGUGAAAUGCGUAGAGAUCGGGAGGAACACCAGAGGCGAAGGCGGCGACCGUGGACCGGAUGACGCUGAGGCGCGAAGCCGGGAGCAAACGG
rnacentral:rRNA from 1 species